rnacentral:rRNA from 1 species
GUAGAGGGGGCAACCCCUCGAGAGUGGCGAACGGGUGAGUAAUAUAUCGGAACGUGCCCAGUCGUGGGGGAUAACGUAGCGAAAGUUACGCUAAUACCGCAUACGAUCUACGGAUGAAAGCGGGGGACUCGCAAGAGCCUCGCGCGAUUGGAGCGGCCGAUAUCAGAUUAGGUAGUUGGUGGGGUAAAGGCUCACCAAGCCAACGGUCUGUAGCUGGUCUGAGAGGACGACCAGCCACACUGGAACUGAGACACGGUCCAGACUCCUACGGGAGGCAGCAGUGGGGAAUUUUGGACAAUGGACGCAAGUCUGAUCCAGCCAUUCCGCGUGCAGGAUGAAGGCCCUCGGGUUGUAAACUGCUUUUGUACGGAACGAAAAGGUCUCUAUUAAUACUGGGGGCUCAUGACGGUACCGUAAGAAUGAGCACUGGCUAACUACGUGCCAGCAGCCGCGGUAAUACGUAGGGUGCAAGCGUUAAUCGGAAUUACUGGGCGUAAAGCGUGCGCAGGCGGUUAUGUAAGACAGAGGUGAAAUCCCCGGGCUCAACCUGGGAACUGCCUUUGUGACUGCAUAGCUAGAGUACGGUAGGGGGGGAUGGAAUUCCGCGUGUAGCAGUGAAAUGCGUAGAUAUGCGGAGGAACACCGAUGGCGAAGGCAAUCCCCUGGACCUGUACUGACGCUCAUGCACGAAAGCGUGGGG